UUUACAGGGUUUUGGUUUCAGGUGGCACAUUUAGAGCGAACAGGGCAUUACUUAACUGUGAAAGAUAACCAGGUGGUUCAGUUGCAUCCCUCUACUGUCCUUGACCACAAGCCUGAAUGGGUGCUUUAUAAUGAGUUUGUGCUAACAACGAAGAAUUACAUCCGGACGUGUACAGAUAUCAAGCCAGAGUGGUUGGUGAAAAUUGCCCCUCAAUAUUAUGACAUGAGCAAUUUCCCACAGUGUGAAGCAAAGAGACAGUUGGACCGCAUCAUUGCCAAACUUCAAUCCAAGGAAUAUUCACAGUACUGAAUUCAAUGCUUAGAACUGAAGUUAUUCAGAGGACAGCUUUAAAAGAUGAAUGAACUCAAAAGUUCAAGUUGUGCUCUUCACGUUGGUUCAAUAAUGGCCUUUAUUUGAAAGCUUUUUAAUUUUUCUUUACAGUAAAUAUUCCAUUCUGAUUUCAUAAAUUAAACAUUUAUGCCUCCCUUUUGUGUUGACACUGUAGCUCAUACUGGAAAAGUCGAUCAAUGUUUUGCAGUUUAUUGAAAGUAGUUCUAUAUAUAACAAUGUUAUAAGCAUUUCUUUAGAAAUGGUUGAAAAUGCUUCUAAAAUGUGAUUAUCGACCAUGGUAUGCAUGAUCGUUGUAAUUGUUGACAUUCCUUUUAGAAGUUGUGAAAUGUUACAACUUGUGCUUAUGUAGACACAAUCUUCUGUCUCAGUACAGAGGCACUGACUUCAAUAAAGUCUAUUUAUACUAA